rnacentral:rRNA from 1 species
GACGAACGCUGGCGGCGUGCUUAACACAUGCAAGUCGAACGGAAAGGCCCUGCUUUUGUGGUGUGCUCGAGUGGCGAACGGGUGAGUAACACGUGAGUAACCUGCCCUUGACUUUGGGAUAACUUCAGGAAACUGGGGCUAAUACCGGAUAGGAGCUCCUGCUGCAUUGUGGGGGUUGGAAAGUUUCGGCGGUUGGGGAUGGACUCGCGGCUUAUCAGCUUGUUGGUUGGGUAGUGGCUUACCAAGGCUUUGACGGGUAGCCGGCCUGAGAGGGUGACCGGCCACAUUGGGACUGAGAUACGGCCCAGACUCCUACGGGAGGCAGCAGGGGGGAAUAUUGCACAAUGGGACGAAGCCUGAGGCAGCAACGCCGCGUGCGGGAUGACGGCCUUCGGGUUGUAAACCGCUUUCGCCUGUGACGAAGCGUGAGUGACGGUAAUGGGUAAAGAAGCACCGGCUAACUACGUG